AUGCUGCAGCCUUUGAAAUGCUAAUUAAAGUACCAAUCCAGAAACAAGAAUGAGUGCAUCUAGCCCAAAAAAAGUGCAGCUGUGGAUGAGCUAUAAGACUCAAGGUGGACCUGAUACUCCGGGGAAGAGUUCCGAUAUUUUGUUGAAAACAUCCAUAACCUGAGAUUAAAUGAUACAUAUUACAUUUAAAAGGAUAACUGCAGGCAGAAGCAAAAGCAAAUCCAAGGGGCUCAAUAUAUUAAUAAAAAAAUGGCCUUAAUGGCAUAAAUGAUUUGAAUGUGAACGUGCAGAACAAGCAUCACUAUGAUCACAAUUAAA
rnacentral:lncRNA from 1 species